rnacentral:rRNA from 1 species
AUGAGCUGCUUAAACUGGAACUGUCGGGGGCUUGGGAACCCAGCGGUAGUUCGGGAGCUUCAUAAUAUAGUGAAGCAAGAAGUGCCUAGUCUCCUCUUUGUGAUGGAGACAAAGAUUUCGGCUAUUCGAGUGGAAAGCCUGUGGAACCAACUUGGUUUCUUGGGGUGUUUUGCGGUAAACAGUAAUUGUUUAAGUGGUGGGAUUGGCAUGUUUUGGUCGACUGAUGUUGAAGUUGAAUUGAAAAAUUAUAGUUCGAGCCAUAUUGAUUUGUUGGUCAAGAAGAAUGCACGAGACUCAAAAGAGUGGCAGGUCACAGGUUUCUAUGGGGCUUCGCGAGUGGAGGAGAGACACCAUAGCUGGAGAUUCCUACGCACUCUUUUUGCUGUGAAGCACGAAGCCUGCCUUUGUGUCGGUGACUUUAACGAAACUAUGUUUGCUACUGAACACUUCUCGCGUGCGAGCCGGACGGAAGGGUAA